rnacentral:tRNA from 1 species
GCGGUUGUAGCUCAGCUGGUAGAGCAUUCCUCUGAUAAGGGAAAGGUCCUUGGUUCGAGUCCAAGCAGCCGCA